rnacentral:rRNA from 1 species
ACGCUGGCGGCAGGCUUAACACAUGCAAGUCGAACGGUAACAGGAAUUAGCUUGCUAAUUUGCUGACGAGUGGCGGACGGGUGAGUAAUGCUUGGGAAUCUGGCUUAUGGAGGGGGAUAACUACGGGAAACUGUAGCUAAUACCGCGUAAAAUCUUCGGAUUAAAGGGUGGGACUUUCGAGCCACCUGCCAUAAGAUGAGCCCAAGUGGGAUUAGGUAGUUGGUUAGGUAAAGGCUGACCAAGCCGACGAUCUCUAGCUGGUCUGAGAGGAUGACCAGCCACACUGGAACUGAGACACGGUCCAGACUCCUACGGGAGGCAGCAGUGGGGAAUAUUGCACAAUGGGGGGAACCCUGAUGCAACCAUGCCGCGUGAAUGAAGAAGGCCUUCGGGUUGUAAAGUUCUUUCGGUGACGAGGAAGGUUGAUAGGUUAAUAGCCUAUCAAAUUGACGUUAAUCACAGAAGAAGCACCGGCUAACUCCGUGCCAGCAGCCGCGGUAAUACGGGGGGUGCGAGCGUUAAUCGGAAUAACUGGGCGUAAAGGGCACGCAGGCGGUGACUUAAGUGAGAUGUGAAAGCCCCGAGCUUAACUUGGGAAUUGCAUUUCAUACUGGGUCGCUAGAGUACUUUAGGGAGGGGUAGAAUUCCACGUGUAGCGGUGAAAUGCGUAGAGAUGUGGAGGAAUACCGAAGGCGAAGGCAGCCCCUUGGGAAUGUACUGACGCUCAUGUGCGAAAGCGUGGGGAGCAAACAGGAUUAGAUACCCUGGUAGUCCACGCUGUAAACGAUGUCGAUUUGGGGAUUGGGCUUUGAGCUUGGUGCCCGUAGCUAACGUGAUAAAUCGACCGCCUGGGGAGUACGGCCGCAAGGUUAAAACUCAAAUGAAUUGACGGGGGCCCGCACAAGCGGUGGAGCAUGU